rnacentral:rRNA from 1 species
UACGAAGGGGGCUAGCGUUGCUCGGAAUGACUGGGCGUAAAGGGCGCGUAGGCGGAUGGCACAGUCAGAUGUGAAAUUCCCGGGCUUAACCUGGGGGCUGCAUUUGAUACGUGUUGUCUAGAGUGAGGAAGAGGGAUGCGGAAUUCCUGGUGUAGCGGUGAAAUGCGUAGAUAUCGGGAGGAACACCUGUGGCGAAAGCGGCGCACUGGACCAUAACUGACGCUGAGGCACGAAAGCGUGGGUAGCAAACAGG